rnacentral:rRNA from 1 species
UACGUAGGCAGCAAGCGUUGUUCGGAGUUACUGGGCGUAAAGGGUGCGUAGGCGGCUCUAUAAGUAUGGUGUGAAAUCUCCCCGGCUUAACUGGGAGGGUGCGCUAUAGACUGUGGGGCUAGAGUGUGGGAGAGGAAAGUGGAAUUCCUGGUGUAGCGGUGAAAUGCGUAGAUAUCAGGAGGAACACCGGUGGUGUAAACGCUUUCUGGACCAUAAACUGACGCUGAGGCACGAAAGCGUGGGUAGCAAACAGG